AGUUUACUCUAUCCUUCCAUCCAUCUGCUUCUUUCUUUGUUAAUGAGAUUCAAAAUUUCAGAUUCAUCAUCAUCACUCUUUACAUGAGAUGCAAACUUUCAUGAUUCAUCAUCGAUUCAUCAUCAUCAACAAUUAUUGAUCUAAAGACGGUGAUAGAAGAAGCCAUAUAUGGAAGAGGCAGGGACAUGAAUCAGAAGAUUGGAACUGUAUGUGAUACAUCUACCGUCAAAUUAUUCAAUGACGCGUAUUAUUUGGUGACUUAGUUAUCUCCGGAGGAAACCGAAAGCAUGACUGGUGGAUACGCAAUGGCUAUAAGUCAUGUAGUUAUCGAGUUAAAAACGGUUAAAGGAACAGAUUCGAGAAACCAAGGCUAUAUUCGAUCUCCCUUAAACUAAUUGUGGGACUUUAGCUUAAACUAAAGUUGUCUCGACCAAAGUAAUCAGGUUUCAUUCCACGAGUUAAAUGAUUAUUAGUUGUAUUUUUAGCCAAAUCAAACAUGUAUACAAAUUCAGUACAUACUAUGCUUGCAACCCCUUUGCCUAAUUCCCAUAUUGUGUGUGAUUUGAAAGGUCUUUUUGCUAAUAUUAAUCGUGUUUUGUAAUACCAGAUUAGUCUUAAAUGAGGGAGAUCCUGGGGACCCAAGCCCAAUCAUGUGACCAGGAGUGGUCAAAAGUUUAUUUUCUCAAGCUAUAGACAUGGAGAUUGAGAAGGCAACAUCCAACAUCUACCCACCUCAGAGAAGAUUUAGUUUGCAUUUGAACUGGGCAAGCUUUCUAUUUCUUUUUCAGUUUUUUGUCCACAUAGACCGCAUAUGAGAGCUCAACUCAUAAGCUCAAGGAUGCUCAUCAAGCUGGUCAUAACCAAAGCUUGGAGGGUGGCAUACAUGGCAGAUAUUAUGUUGUUGAAGUAUUAAAACAGGUGGUACUAAACAAAAUGAGUGUUAAUAAUUUAUUUAUUUAUUUAUUGGCUUUUUAAGCUUUCUCCAUUACGUCUGGUAUUCAGAUUUAGAGAUUGUCGAGUCGAGUUCGAUACAUGUACAGAUUGCUCAUGAUCCUUAUUUUAAGUUAUUUGAUUGGCCCGUUUAUAUUUUUCACUUUGGUCGGUUGGCCCGUUUUACUGUCAAAAUUGGAAAGUGUUGAGUUGGAGGUAUCCCAUAUUUAAGUUAUUUGAUUCUAAAAGUUUGGAGCAAAAUCACAACCGUUUGAAGGUCAUGGGUAUCAUUUGGUAGUAUAUUUUGGGUUAUUUGGCCCGCUUAACCAUUUUGUACCAAAAUAGGAUCAUUAGACGGGCAUUGUAGCAAAAUCUCAGCUUUUUAACCAAACCAUGCAUCAACAAAAUGACUUUCAAAGGAUCCUUAGACGGGCAUUGUUGCAGGGUGCAACAAGGGUUCAAUACAUGAGUUGAUUAAUGCAGCUUUAGACUUUCUAGCGACUUAUGUGGUAAUGUUUACGAAUUACCAGUACUUCAUAUCUUAUGACCCAAAUACGGGCUCUGGUCUUAAGGUUAUAUACUUUCUAGUGCCGGCUCUGGUCUUAAGUUAUAUACUUUUAGUCAUAGUGGCAUUAAGCUUUUUCCCAUUUGUAAAAAAGAUAACCUGGAAAUUUAUUACUCAUCUGUGUUGGGUAUGGGCUGAUUUUGUUGUUGAACAAGGUUUGACUUUAUGAAACAAUGGUUUUAGAAUUUGAUCAUUAGUGUUUGCGUACCCAAGUUACCCGAACCAAAACUCUCAAUGUCUUUUGAUUGAAUCUGAAGAUGAGGAAAUUUUAGUAAAUAUAUCUCAUAACUAUAAACAUUAUAAUUUAAUGAUUAUAAUGGGGUUGCUUAAAGUAGUUUGGGGUAUAUGAAAAGUGUAGAAAAUGGAUUUCUUUUGCUCGGGUCUUUUGUUUCAGUUAGGAUCUACAGUUAGUACUUGAAGGAAAUCUUGUCAUUGCCAAGAUAUGUUCAUGAAUAUAUGUUGGUGACCCUGACCAAUAUGUUCACCAUUGGAAGAAGGAUAGAAGUUCGUGACUACAUAUUAGUUAAGGUUGAUUAAUUAUUUUAGUUUUAUUAAUUCACCAACAGAACACAAAGAAGAUAGAAAAGUUUAGGGGCAUUGAAGAUCUAUUGGAAGUUGCAAAGUUUAGUGAUCAUUUCCGCUGGUAUGAUACAGGUAGUAAUGAUUAAUCUAUAUUCACGUGUUCGCCUCUAAACUUAGGAACGUAACUAAGAAAGGUUACCUGCUGAUAGUGUAAACGUAUAUUGAACCCAAAAUAUGAUAAAGUUGUGUGUAGCGUAAACAUGUGAGGUUAUUGAUUACUUAAUUGACAGUGUUCGUGCAUUUAUGUUAGAUUGCUCGCAUAUCUACUGUGGGUGGUCCACAUUGUUCUGUAGCAAAAGCUGCUUUUAUAUGUCUUUGUGAUGAACAUGGAAAUUCUUAAAGACAUUUGAUAUUCAAGGAAAUGGCAAGGAGCCUGAGAGGUUAUGUAUUUGUUUAUCUCUCUUUGUCAUGUUAUGCCUUAUGAUGGGAAAUUGGGGAUUAGCAUGUUGAGUUAGUAAAAUAUCCUUUAGAAUUGCUCAAGGAGUCAAGCAGCGGAUCAGAAGGCUCAGUGAAAAGGUGAUGAUGAGUUAAUGACGUUGCCAAAAAAAAAACAAGGAUUUAUGAUGCAUAGUUUGUUAUUAGAAAGAAAAUUUUUAUGCUUAAAGAAAUUGUUAAGUGGUUGUUUACUCUUCUUAUUUUUUGGCAAGGCAUGUGGCUACCUCAUGUGUUAUUAUUGUACUCGUGUUACAGUAAAUCUUCAAUUUGCAACAAUUUGAAUAAUUUGACUUUUUA